rnacentral:rRNA from 1 species
AUGGCCUUCCUCUGCUCCCUUACCGCGACCUGCUUUCUUAUAUACGGCGGUGCAAGAGAAAUUCCACGGGACCACCGUUACUUGUACAACUUGCUGGCGUCUGGGUUGGUGCCGGUGGGAGCUCAAUGUAUGAUUGCUGCGUUUGCUGCGUCUGGGUUGGUGCCGGUGGGAGCUCAAUGUAUGAUUGCUGCGUCUGGGUUCAGUCAACCGUUGGCUCAUUGUCCUCGUAUACACUUUGUCCAUAGCUUCACUGCUUCUCUGCUUCCCUGGCAUCUGGGCUCCGUUCCAUCUGGGGCUGGGGAAGGCCAUAUGGCGUCGAGCCGGAUGGAGGGGAUUUAUCAACAUACACGUGUUCCAAAGUCUUAG